rnacentral:lncRNA from 1 species
GUUAGUUAUCUCCUCCUAUGCCAGAAACAUGGAGCCCGUCUUGUUUGCUCUACACGCCUGGCAAGCUGUUUUACUUUGCUUGCUUUUUGCUGUUAUUUAUGUUGGCAGUCUGUAUGCUUGGAUUAACAAUACCAACAGAACUCGAGAUCACCCUGAAAUUAUCAAACGAAGAUUUGUCAGUGUCGGUAUAGUUGCAUUAAUUGUACCACCUCUUUUGUGGUGCUUCAGCAAGUACCAAACUUCCACCAAUCCUGAUGGCCGCACUUUAUUUGAAUGGCUAGGGCUACGUUUCUGGGGAUUUAUACCUGCAUUUGUACUCCCCCUACUACUUACUAUGGUCUUGUUCUCUGGUCCACUUUAUUUACAUUACAUUGAUGGUGUAUUUAGCUUGUAUUUGGAACCGAAAUAUUGGUCAAGUAGUUUUAAGUCACUAAUCUGGCUCCGGAAUCAUUUAGUGGCUCCAUUUUCGGAAGAAUUCAUAUUCCGGGCUUGUAUGUUACCGGUUUUGGUUCCGUCUUUUGGGGAAUGGUAUGCCGUUUUCUGUUGUCCACUCUUCUUCGGGGUCGCUCACUUUCACCACAUGAUCGAAACGGUUAUAUUCGGACACCAAGCAGUUAAAGAUGCCUUGAAGCAGUCUAUUUUCCAAUUGUUCUAUACCACUAUAUUUGGAGCCUACUCAGCAUUCCUCUUUCUACGAACUGGUCACUUAGUGGCGCCUGUCAUUGCACACGCAUUUUGCAACCACAUGGGAUUUCCACCUUUCAACGAAGUAAUGGCUCAUCAACAACCUGGACGAACCAAAAUCAUUUUCUUCUUUAUUGCUGGACUUUCUGCUUGGUUGAUUCUUCUUUAUCCUCUCACCGACCCAAGUUUUUAUUCCAACGUAGUAUAUAAUCUAUAAAACAGUUCAAAUCUUGGCGAAAGUACUGAAUUACUACUAUAUUCACACACAAUUACAUUCACAAAGAGACAGAAAUAUCCUAAAUCAUGAAUUGCCUUAAAAUGUAAUUAUGAAAGAAAAAUAUUUUUAUUACAUUUUUUUUAUAUUUUUCCCCUUCCCUCCAUCCCAAAUUCAUACAGACCCUUAUGGAAUUAAGUCGACUUUUAACAUAAUGGAUUUCGACUUAAAACAAAGGUAUUGACCAUUUUCAAAUUUCUGGUUAGUAAUUUCUCUACUGCUACAUUCAAUCAUAUUACAUGAACUCUACCAUUACAUCUUUUUCUCUUAAUCAUUUUUUUCUCAUUCCUUAUUUCAACUGCUAAACAAAAUUCAAAUUCUUUAAAUCUAUCUGUUCGAAGUUCUCCUUCAAAUUUUUCGUUGAUUCAAUGACCUGUUAUCCCUUAAUGUGACACGAAGGCGGUACAGAACCAGUUCACUGCUGUUUGGGAGGCAAUACCUGUCACUAUUAAAAUUGGUUUUCUCCUCGAAAUCUUGCCUGUCUCUAUUGAAGGACAAACAAAAAACAAGACAGUAAAAGUUCAUAUUUUCUCUUUCACCAGUUGUAACUUAAGCUUUUAAUUUUCUUUUUUUUUUUCUUUUGUUUAUUCUGUGAUCGUCAUUAUGACUAAGAUUUGUAAAUAUUAGAAUCGACGCCUUCUAUUUUAUUUAUUUUAUUUUUACCCUCUUGAAAAGUUCCUUGGGAAAGAGAGAAAAGAAAAAAAGAACAAAUGAAAUUUAGUUGGAAUUUUAGAAUCAACGAAACUGUCUAACUUGGGAUUUUCAUCUACAGAGCUUAAAAAGUUGUUUUCUUUUUUUAAAAAAAAAUCCAAAACUUUCAUGACUAGUGCCUUAACUAUACGAAAACUGAUUCGUGUUUGACUGAAAAGAAGUUCGGUUACGAUAACUGAUCCAUAUUAAAUGGAAGAGCUGAUGUUAGUUACUCUUGAACUGAUCUUUAACAUGUAGACCGACCAAUCCCUUUAAAUAUAUCCUUUAUAUUUCCUGUGAAAUAUAAAUUAUUAAUAUUAAAUAAAUGGCAAAAAAAAUGACGAAAUCCCUUUACUUGGCUUAAUAAAUUAUUCAAAGUGUCAUUUCGAUUUUUAUUUGAAUUUAUAUAUUGUUUUUUUCUAAAUCAUUUAUGAAACCGCCCCAACGUUGUUCUAUCCUUUAGCUUAAAAAGUAGCGAACAGGAAAUAACUUGAGAUAUUGUCAUAAUCAGAUAAAAAAAAAAGACUUGAAAGUAACAUGCUCUCAUUUCAAAUUCGUAUUCAAUUCGUGGACGUGUAUGAAAUCAAUAGUCAGAUUUUUUUUUAGAAGUAUGUUAAUAUGAAAAGAAUGAGUUACAAUCGUGAAAAAUGGUAUAGUGAAGAACGUUAGAGUGCCACGAAAAGUAUAUAUUUUAUAUUUAGGUUGGGCCUGUUGUGAGAGAUGACCAAUUAUAUUCGAGCCUGUAUGCGGUUUUCUACCUUCUAGAAAUAGCAGCCAAAUCUCAGAUACAACCUAUUGUCUAAAGAAAAGAGAAGAAAACGUAUAAUGUAGUCUUAGAUACACUGUCUGAAAAUACAAUGGAAUGGUCACGGUCAAAAUUCCUCUCAUUAUAUUCUGUUCUAUCAGUGCCGUCCUAUAAUUAAUGAUCAUCGAACAUUAGUUUGAUAAGAGUUGGGCUUGUUCCUUCGUAAUUUACUACAAUGUUUAAUAGGAUUUUUUUUUAAUAUUAAGUAAAGUAACCUAUUUCGCAUGCUUAUUUGAGUGGAUGGUUUUUG